UGGGGAAUUUUGGACAAUGGGCGCAAGCCUGAUCCAGCCAUGCCGCGUGCAGGAUGAAGGCCUUCGGGUUGUAAACUGCUUUUGUACGGAACGAAAAGGUGCCUUCUAAUAAAGGGCGCUCAUGACGGUACCGUAAGAAUAAGCACCGGCUAACUACGUGCCAGCAGCCGCGGUAAUACGUAGGGUGCGAGCGUUAAUCGGAAUUACUGGGCGUAAAGCGUGCGCAGGCGGUUUUGUAAGACAGAGGUGAAAGCCCCGGGCUUAACCUGGGAAUCGCGUUUGAAACUACAAGACUAGAGUGCAGCAGAGGGGAGUGGAAUUCCAUGUGUAGCAGUGAAAUGCGUAGAGAUGUGGAAGAACACCGAUGGCGAAGGCAGCUCCCUGGGUUGACACUGACGCUCAUGCACGAAAGCGUGGGGAGCAAACA
rnacentral:rRNA from 1 species